rnacentral:rRNA from 1 species
UACGGAGGGGGCAAGCGUUAUUCGGAAUUAUUGGGCGUAAAGGGCGCGUAGGCGGCCAUUCAAGUGACGGGUGAAAGCCCUCGGCUUAACCGAGGAACUGCCUGUCAGACUGGAUGGCUUGAGACCGGGAGAGGUGAGUGGAAUUCCCAGUGUAGCGGUGAAAUGCGUAGAUAUUGGGAGGAACACCAGUGGCGAAGGCGGCUCACUGGACCGGAACUGACGCUGAGGUGCGAAAGCGUGGGGAGCAAACAGG